rnacentral:lncRNA from 1 species
GAUGGAGGGAGGGGUAGAGGAGGGGUGGAGGGAGGGAUGGAGGAGGGAUGAAGGAGGGAUGAAGGAGGGAUGGAGGGAGGGGUAGAGGAGGGAUGAAGGAGGGAUGGAGGGAUGGAAGGAGGGAGGGAGGAGGGGUAGAGGAGGGGUGGAGGGAGGGAUGGAGGAGGGAUGAAGGAGGGAUGGAGGGAGGGGUAGAGGAGGGAUGAAGGAGGGAUGGAGGGAUGGAAGGAGGGAGGGAGGAGGGGUAGAGGAGGGGUGGAGGGAGGGAUGGAGGGGGAUGAAGGGAGGAUGAAGGAGGGAUGAAGGAGGGAUGGAGGGAGGGGUAGAGGAGGG